CAGGAUCAAGGCCAUCAAGCUACAGAUGGUCUUACAACUGGAACCCCAAAUGAGCUCAACUCAAAACUUCUACUGAGGACACCUGGACCGACCCACUGGCCCUUUGACUGGUCUAAAGAGUUCCCCUCUGGAGGACACUACAACUGCAGGGCCCCUUCUUCACCCCUAUCCAGCAGGAAGUAGCUAGAGCAGUCAUUGCCCAGUUCUCAACAGCAGUUGAGAGGGGAGAUUGAGAGGUGAGGCCAGCUGGACUUCCUGGGUCAAGUGGGGACUUGGAGAACUUUCCUGUCUUAUGAGAGGAUUGUAAAAUGCACCAAUCAGCGCUCUGUAAAACUCACCAAUCAGCAGGAUUCUAAAAGUAGCCAAUCAUGGGGAGGAUUGAAAAAAGCGCACUCUGAUAGGACAGAAAUGGAACAUGGGAGGGGACAAUAAGGGAAUAAAAGCUGGUCACCCCAGCCAGCAGCAGCAAACAACUUGGGUUCCUUUUACCCUGUGGAAGCUUUGUCCUUUCACUCUUCGCAAUAAACCUUGCUACCACUCCCUCUUUGGGUUCCUGCCAUCUUUAAGAGCUGUAACACUCACUGCCAAGUUCCGUGGCUCCAUUCUUGAAGUCAGCGAGACUACGAACCCACCAGCAGGAACCAACUCCAGACACAGGAUUACAGGUGGCUUUUUGCAUGUCCAGUGACCUAUGGCUCUACCAGGACCCACCAACUGCUCCUGUGGCCCCACCCAGAAGCUACUCAGCACACAGGAGGACCAUUUCCCACAUUCCUAUGGUUGCAUCCACAAUCAAUCAGUAGCAAGCACUCAUUUCCUAACCACCCACAACCCUUCCCCCAAACUACCUUUGAGAAACCCUAGCCCCCAAAUUCUCUGAGAAACUGAUUUGAGUAAUAAUACAACUGUGGUUCCCUGUUCAGGUGGCUCUGCGUGUAUUAAACUCUCUACUGCAAUUUCCCUGCCUUGAUAAAUUGGCUCUAUCUGGGCAACAGGCAAGAAGAACCCAUUGGGCGGUUAUAAUUACAAUCUUUUUUCUAUGCUAGACAUGUGCCAUUUUGAGUUAAGCAUGUUUCUUCUUUACUAUUCCAUUUGAUACAUUUGCUCAAGCAUUCAAUUCAUAUUAAUCAACUAUUCUGCUCUUUUU
rnacentral:lncRNA from 1 species